ACUUUGCUGCAGAGGACUUGCACAAAGCACUAUUGAUGCUUUUAUCCUUUAAGAUAACUAUUUUUUUCACAAACAGAACAGCAGAUACUUGUUACCCUUGUGCUGUCACUUGCCCAUUUUUUCUACCUGCUUUAGCUGUAUGUAAAGGAAAGAGAAAUGCAGGACAUUUUGUCGUUGUUGUGUUUCCUUCUGAAGUGCUUGGUUUAGGACUGUGGGCUCAGUCCUGCUCUCACUGUUGUCAUCUGAAAGGCUCCUACUGAGUUCAGCAGUCUUUGGAUGGAGACAAGUCCAUGUGCAGUAAUCCAGUGAGGCACACUCUUUAAAGGGGAGUUUAGCUCUGUGUACAGAAUGGCACUUCAAGAUAAUUCCCAGUUCAUUCUAUGAACUAGACAAUAAAGUGCAAAGCGCUCACUGGAAUUUCCUUAAGGCAACCUGAAGCUGUGCUCAGGCUCUCUCUGAGUUUAUUAGCAGUGUUUGGCAAAGUACUUCAGGCUUCUUUGCAGACCACAGUAAUUGGUUACCAGACAUUAGAGGACAAGCUGCCUGAUAAAAUUCAGAGUCUGUAGUGAGGCAGACAGGCACGAUAACACAGCAAUAAAUCACAGCCGUUAGGGUAUAUUCCUGAGACGGCUGGCAGAGAGGUUCCAAUCAGAAGUCACAAAGAACCUGUAGCUCCAUGUCAUACUCCCCUGCAUGGUCAAAUAUCUCACUGGAUCCUCUCCAGGUGUUGGGUCAGACACAGCAGACACAGCCCACCCUAAAGGGAAGAGCUUCCAAAAACCACAAUUUUAUCACUGUUCUGCCACGCAAUUGAAUGGAUUGAUUUAAUCUGUCACAGUCUUCCUACAUAUUCUCUACUUCUGCACUGGAGAAGAAAUGGGCUGAGCAUCUGUAAACCCAACCUGUGACAGUUCGGCUCAUUGUGCAUCUGGUGAAUGAGCGACCUCCCGCCUUACAGCCACUAAAGCAGAGGAAUUUCACCAUCGAUCUGGAGAAGCACUUGAGAGAAUGGGAGUAACAGGGCAAUAAAGAUUGCAAUAUAUCAUCAGACUCAGCUGCUGGCCCAUAUAGAUCAGAGCUGCAUUAAGAUCAUUACAGCCUGCCUGAAGUGAUAUAAAGACUGACUCAUGUGCCGCGAUCGCCUGAGGCCAGCAGUGCUGCUUCCUCCUGCCUUCUGCUGCUGUGGUGCUGGGAAGAGGAGAAGGACUGGAGCUGCUGCAGGUUGCCAGCCCCAAGCACUGCCUACAGCCUACGAUGGGGAUGGAGCAGUUUAAAGCUGGAUCAGGGGAUCCCUCAUUGCAAAAGCUUUGACACUGCCAGGGCUUCAUCUGCUGUGGGAUUGAAGUGCUGGCUUCAUGCUGGCAAUGGACCAAGCUGCCUCUGCUUCUCCUGUGUGCUUUAAAACUUCUGUCUUGUGGAACCCUCAUCAGUCCUGCUGACCCACCCUUAUGCAUUGGGUCACUUGCAGAGACCUCCCUCAGGAUAGCAUCUUGCUCAUGGCUUCAUCGUACGCCCACACCUUCCUGCCUAUGUUUUGGAAGCUGUGCAUCAAACCAGAGCAGGAGAGCAGAGAAUGUACAAGGAUCCAUCCUGCAGCCUGCCAAGCACCUUCCUGCUCUCUGUGGCUGCCAUUUUCAGCACCUUGCAGGAUCAGGCCCUUUCUUAUGAACUGACAAGUCAUUAUCGUCUUUCCCUGUUUGGCAUUUAACGUCUCUUGGCAAAAGAUUAAUGAAUUGACUGGCUUUCAACAGGUUUUAUGAAGCAAGACAAGAGCAUGCCAGCACAGACAGAAUAUUAAAUGCGUUCAGCAGGGAAGCCUCUCCUGCUUGUUUUGUGUCUGUGCAGCAAGUGUGUGUGCAGGCAUGAAGGGCUCUGAGGGAGCUGUUGGCUCAGGAUGGCAAGCAAGGGGGAAAACUGCCAUAAAAGCAACAUGUGGCCUUUAGCUUACUGCCUUACCUCGUAUGAACCUCCAUUAACGCUGCUCUCAGCCUGCUGAUUUCACACUGCCCUCCUUCCACACCUUAAAGAUGGUCAUUAUCCAUACUCACAGUGGAAAUGUAUGAUUUAGAGACUGGGGAACUUAAAGCAUCACUCACAUUUCUGCAAUCAGCUCGGCCCGGUGGGAGUCCCCUUCCAGCCAUGACAUCGGUGUUUGGGGGCUGUGAACAGAGCCUGGAUGCUUUAUACAGGAGUAAUUCAGCCAGAGGGUUCUGGUGGCAUCAGAAACCAUCAGAGCAGAGACUGCAAAACCAGGUUUCAUGCUGUGGCACACGUGUUUCAGUCGCUGUGUUUUUAAAAUAUGUGGAUUGAGUGUUGGUUUAGGUCUUUAAAAGAAAUGAACCAUUUCAUUCAAGGAAUAGCUGUGUUAGCAGGAACUGAAGCUAUUACAAUGCUUAUUUGCACGUGAGGGUAAAGUGAUGGAAUUUCAAGCCUGAUGAGAUCAAGCCAAAAUGCUCUGGAUUGUUAGAGAAAUUUCAGUCCUGGUCUUCUAACUCCUCAACUCACGUCCCAGAUCCACGUGUUUCAUUCUCUUUAGUCACUGGAGAUAACUGAGGGAACGCUCUGAUUUUGGAGAGCCUAAUGAGAGAAAGCUGUAGCCUGUUGUCCUGUUGGAAUGUUCUGAUACUGGGAAGUGCUGACAGCUUGAAUGAACUUCUGAUUCCCAUGAAUGUGUGCAGGAAAUAAAUUUGGUCAGCAU
rnacentral:lncRNA from 7 species